rnacentral:misc_RNA from 1 species
GUACCUUCAAGCUUUGCUUGGUGUUGGGUGUUUGUCCCAAGGGACUCGCCUUAAAACAAUUGGCAGCCAGUGUUUGGUCUUGAAGCGCAGCACAAGUCGCGAUUCAAGGCCACACGCCAGCUUCCACAAACCUUUUUUCAC